GACAAUUAGGAUGUACUUGGGGGCUAUCCCGGAUGCCAACAUGCCAGUUAAGAUGUACUGUCUACAAAGUUGCAAGCUCCGGGGGCCAGACCUCGCUGUGGAGAGAAACAUUCCCAGAAAAGUGGUAGGCAAUUUUGGAGGAAAGUUACCCCUUGCCUGGCCUGGGAAAAGCAGAGGCAGGUCAGAGAAGUGGACAUUUAAGUGGAUGUGAUUUGGACCAGCACUGGCUGGCACCUUAAUUACAGCCCUGUGAGAAACCCUGAAGCAGAGAACUCAGAGGAAGGAACUUAAUUUAUCCAAGGCCAAGUGACCAGUAUGUAGCAGAGCAGAUACCAGAGCCCGGGGCUGUCUGACACAAAGCCUUUAUACUUUGUUUCACGACAUGCUGCUUACCACUGUGGCCUCAUUGCUGUGAUCAGGCAGAGCUCAGUUCCAGAGUUUCUCAUCACAGGAAAACAUUUUAGAAACAGAAAGCUGUUAUGUAAUCUCUUAACAGUGUGGAGAAGAUGCGGGGCAAGAACUCAGUUCUAGCUUCCAAGUAAUCCGAGGGAAAUACGUAAUUCUCAUGGCUGAUGAGUGGAAUAGGUCUGCACCUGGGAUCCUUGCAAACCCAGGCCACUGAAGUGGACCACGUGGAACAUUAACCACUUGACCAUGAGGCUGGCCUCUGGAAGUUUCUGUCUUUAGGAUAAUUUUUUUUUUCUGUUGCAGUAUUUGAUUUUUUAAUUUCCCAAAUGUUCUUGAUAUAGUUCAAUUCUUCAUCACCCUCAUAAGCUCUAUCUGCCCCUCACAGAUACAAUUUCCUCCCAGGAAGCUCUGACUGGAGUCAUAGCAGAGCUAGACAAGUCUGAUAGGGAAACAUUCAUGACUAAUCCAAACUCUGGGUCUGUUUUUGUUAAAAGUGAAACCCUGGAGAAGUUGUGCAUGAGACUUUUCAGUUAAAAAAU
rnacentral:lncRNA from 1 species